ACUCUGGUUUCUCUUCAGAUCGUAUAAAUGUUUCGCCUUUUACUAAAGAUUUCCGUGGAGAGGAACAAAAAAAAAAAGAAUAUAUUUUUAAAAAAAUAUAUCAUUUUU